rnacentral:lncRNA from 11 species
UAUAUCGUGUGGCAGGUGUGAUGAUAUCCUAUGCCUUGGGGAAGUCUAGGGAAUUUUCUUCAACCUACACUCAGAAUUAGAAAAAAACGUAAAUAAUUUAAAUUUCACGCUUUUUUGUCUUUUGUAUUGUUUAUACUUGACUAUGUUUAAGAAGUAUACUUGCUUCCCCUAAAAAGUUAAUCUAAAAUCGAUUUCAGCUAUACUAUUUUUUCCGUGUUUAGCUGACGAUGUCAGUUUGCUACAAUCACCAAGUCAACAAACGCGUUCGGAAAUUUGCUCUUGGUCGGAUGUGAUUUUGUAGGCGAAAUUGCUUAAAAAGAAAGUGUUUUUCGCGAAGUAAAUCAAGUUUACAGUUUUGCGAAAAGUGAGAAGUGUCUUUUGAGCCGUGGCACCCGAUUUCCUCCGAAUAUCAAGCGUCAUCCGUCGCGCCAUUGUGGAAUGUCCGGACCUCUGCUCCUGAAAUAACCCUGAAAAGUUUCCGGUGGUUUCAGUGUCCUAACCGGAACGCCCCAGAAACCAAACGCCCCAGACGCCGACCACUUCUGAUUGAUGCACAGCAAGAAAGUGAGGGAAUCCGACAUCUGCAAAUCCAAGCACUCGCGGGCCGCCGUUGGUCAUCACUUGGUCCGUUUUUCAACCGGCGUUAACGUGCCGCUGCUCAACUACCGUAGAGUGUGCUGAGUUACUUUUGGUUUUCACUGGACAAUGCUUCCCCGGACCGCCCCAGACGCCGAACCAAUUUGAACCGCACCGCCCCGGACCCUGAACCAAUGUAAACCGGAACACCCCGGACCCCGAACCAAUUUUAACCGUGCCGCCCCGGACCCCGAACUAAUUUGCACUGGAACGUCGCGGACCCCGAACCAACUUGAACCGGACCGCCUCAACACGUCAACUGCCUCUUGAUUGCUGCACAGUUCUUUCAGCAUGGACAGGUUGCCACAAGAACUUGGUCCGGAGGUCGCAGCGCAGUUAGCUGGUACGAGGAUACAUGAUACUAUAUGCCCAGAAACCCAGAC